rnacentral:rRNA from 1 species
GAUGAACGCUGGCGGCGUGCCUAAUACAUGCAAGUCGAGCGAACAGACGAGGAGCUUGCUCCUCUGACGUUAGCGGCGGACGGGUGAGUAACACGUGGAUAACCUACCUAUAAGACUGGGAUAACUUCGGGAAACCGGAGCUAAUACCGGAUAAUAUAUUGAACCGCAUGGUUCAAUAGUGAAAGACGGUUUUGCUGUCACUUAUAGAUGGAUCCGCGCCGCAUUAGCUAAUUGGUAAGGUAACGGCUUACCAAGGCAACGAUGCGUAGCCGACCUGAGAGGGUGAUCGGCCACACUGGAACUGAGACACGGUCCAGACUCCUACGGGAGGCAGCAGUAGGGAAUCUUCCGCAAAGGGCGAAAGCCUGACGGAGCAACGCCGCGUGAGUGAUGAAGGUCUUCGGAUCGUAAAACUCUGUUAUUAGGGAAGAACAAAUGUGUAAGUAACUAUGCACGUCUUGACGGUACCUAAUCAGAAAGCCACGGCUAACUACGUG